GGGAAGGGGAGGUGGUGGGGCGCCGCCGGCGAAGAGGAACCCUAUUUCUGCUCCCGCCGGCCGGGAAGCCCGCGCAGAGGUAUACCAAAGAAUUUGGCUCUGUAAUGAAAGAAAUGCAGAUAGACUUCCAUCACUGCCAACAGAGAAACCUAGAAAUACUUCUUGAGAAAAUGAGAUCCUCUUUAUGUUCUCUGGGUCUACUCCAGAAUUCUACACAUA